UCGUGUUUCUUAUCCCCACUCUCUCUUCCUCUUUCUUUUUCUCUCUCUCUCUCUCUCUCUCUCUCUUUCUCUUUCUAUCUCACUUUCGGGGUUAUCUAUCUAUCUCACUCGUUUUCGAGAGGAUUCUUUCGAACGCGCGUCUUCUUCGCCGUGUUGGAAAUAAUCGUCAGUCUCUCCGUCGACGGCACGGUGUAAACUCCAUGGACUAUAGACAAUUAACAAGUGACGUGUUUCGCAGUGCAAUAGUAACAUUGGUAACGAUUAUAAUUGAUUUGAUUAAUUAAUUAAUUUAACGAACGAACGAACGAACGAACGAAAUAAAUGAAUGAAUGAAGAUUGAACAGAAGAGGAUAAGCAAUAAUUAGAUCGAGAGAAGAUACGGACAAACGGACAGA